CGCGAAGAACCUUACCAGGUCUUGACAUCCUUUGACCACUCUAGAGAUAGAGCUUCCCCUUCGGGGGCAAAGUGACAGGUGGUGCAUGGUUGUCGUCAGCUCGUGUCGUGAGAUGUUGGGUUAAGUCCCGCAACGAGCGCAACCCUUAUUGUUAGUUGCCAUCAUUUAGUUGGGCACUCUAGCGAGACUGCCGGUGACAAACCGGAGGAAGGUGGGGAUGACGUCAAAUCAUCAUGCCCCUUAUGACCUGGGCUACACACGUGCUACAAUGGGAAGUACAACGAGUCGCGAAGUCGCGAGGCCAAGCUAAUCUCUUAAAGCUUCUCUCAGUUCGGAUUGUAGGCUGCAACUCGCCUACAUGAAGCCGGAAUCGCUAGUAAUCGCGGAUCAGCACGCCGCGGUGAAUACGUUCCCGGGUCUUGUACACACC
rnacentral:rRNA from 1 species